rnacentral:rRNA from 1 species
AAAUCUUACCGGGUCCGGACACACUGAGGAUUGACAGGCAAUAUUAAUACGUUUUGCUUCGGUAAUCGUAUUAUGUUAAAUAUGCUAGUCCUUUCAUGAUUAUGUGAUAGGUGGUGCAUGGCCGUUCUUAGUUCGUGGAGUGAUCUGUCUGCUUAAUUGCGUUUCACUAAGGGCCUAUAAAUUUACGUGUGUUGCAUCGCACUUUGACCCCUUUCUUUAAUUAGAGAGCGCGUGUCUUAGUUUUCGCUUUGCUCAUACAAUUAGGUCCUGAAAGCAACGAACGUGACCGCAACCUCUUGUUGCCUUUAUACCAAACGUGUUUUGCGUCAAUUUUCGAAUUGCGCGCAUUUCAUGAAAAAAGGCUUUUUAAACUAGAGGGACCGCUGUUACUUUCUUAAACCAGAGGAAGGUUGCGGCAAUAA